rnacentral:rRNA from 1 species
CAGGCCUAACACAUGCAAGUCGAACGAUGAAGCCUAGCUUGCUAGGUGGAUUAGUGGCGAACGGGUGAGUAAUACGUGAGUGACCUACCUUUGACUCUGGGAUAAGCCUGGGAAACUGGGUCUAAUACCGGAUACGACCAAUCUCCGCAUGGGGUGUUGGUGGAAAGCGUUAUGGAGUGGUUUUAGAUGGGCUCACGGCCUAUCAGCUUGUUGGUGAGGUAAUGGCUUACCAAGGCGACGACGGGUAGCCGGCCUGAGAGGGUGACCGGCCACACUGGGACUGAGACACGGCCCAGACUCCUACGGGAGGCAGCAGUGGGGAAUAUUGCACAAUGGGCGCAAGCCUGAUGCAGCGACGCCGCGUGAGGGAUGGCGGCCUUCGGGUUGUAAACCUCUGUUAGCAUCGAAGAAGCGAAAGUGACGGUAGGUGCAGAGAAAGCGCCGGCUAACUACGUGCCAGCAGCCGCGGUAAUACGUAGGGCGCGAGCGUUGUCCGGAAUUAUUGGGCGUAAAGAGCUUGUAGGCGGUUGGUCGCGUCUGCUGUGAAAGGCUGGGGCUUAACCCUGGUUUUGCAGUGGGUACGGGCUAACUAGAGUGCAGUAGGGGAGACUGGAAUUCCUGGUGUAGCGGUGGAAUGCGCAGAUAUCAGGAGGAACACCGAUGGCGAAGGCAGGUCUCUGGGCUGUAACUGACGCUGAGAAGCGAAAGCAUGGGGAGCGAACAGGAUUAGAUACCCUGGUAGUCCAUGCC